AUUGAACGCUGGCGGCGUGCCUAACACAUGCAAGUCGAGCGGUAACAGGUGUAGCAAUACAUGCUGACGAGCGGCGAACGGGUGAGUAAUGCUUCGGAAUCUACCUUAUGGUGGGGAAUAACUAGCCGAAAGGUUAGCUAAUACCGCAUACGUCCUACGGGAGAAAGCAGGGGAUCGCAAGACCUUGCGCCAAAAGAUGAGCCGAAGGCGGAUUAGCUAGUUGGUAGGGUAACGGCCUACCAAGGUGACGAUCUGUAGCUGGGCUGAGAGGAGGACCAGCCAGACUGGGACUGAGACCAGGCCCAGACUCCGACGGGAGGCAGCAGUGGGGAAUAUUGGACAAUGGGGGAAACCCUGAUCCAGCGACGCCGCGUGUGUGAAGAAGGCCUGCGGGUUGUAAAGCACUUUUAGUGGGGAUGAAAUGUGCAGGGUUAAUACCUCUGCAUUUUGACCUAACCCACAGAAAAAGCACCGGCUAACUCUGUGCCAGCAGCCGCCGUAA
rnacentral:rRNA from 1 species